GCUGGGCACAGUGGCGCAUGCCCGUAAUCCAACCGCUCAGAAGGCUGAGGCAGGAGGAUCGUGAGUUCAAAGCCAGCCUCAGCAAAAGCAAAGUGCUAAGCAACUCACUGAGACCCUGUCUCUA
rnacentral:sRNA from 1 species